GAGUAUCCCCCAAAGUCCCAUCUGGAAGCUACAACAUUGCUCAGAUCACAUACGAGCUCAACGUGUUGGGCACACGCGGGCCACGGAGAAUGCACUGCAUCAUGAACUCUAUCCCAACUUCAUCUCUCGAACCGGGAGGCUCGGUUCCAAACCAACCUGAGAAACUCCUCCCGCCUCCACCGCGCUCCUUUGACGACUCGUUCCGGAGCAACAUCUCAUUCUCCAAGUCAUCAUUCGACCACCGCUCCGUAGAUUUCAGCAGCUCUAGAUUCUCGGAAAUGGGAGUGUCCUGCGAGGAAGACCAAGCAGAGACGAGUUUCAAACCGUUGGUUUUGAAGAACAAGCAGCCGAGGUGGCACGAGCAGUUGCAAUGCUGGUGUCUGAAUUUCCGUGGACGUGUGACAGUUGCGUCUGUUAAGAACUUCCAGCUUGUGGCCGUGAGACAGCCGCCGCCAACGCAAGUGGCAGGCAGCUCAGCACCAGCGGCUCCUCCAGAGCAAGACAAAGUGAUUCUCCAGUUUGGUAAAGUGGGGAAAGAUAUGUUCACAAUGGAUUAUAGGUAUCCAUUGUCAGCGUUUCAAGCAUUUGCUAUUUGCUUAAGCAGCUUUGACACCAAGCUCGCUUGUGAAUAAAGAAGAAACAACACUCGUCAUCUCCUUCAUGCUAAUCCAUGUCUCUCUUUAUCUAUGCCUUAUGGUUUCUUUUGACGAACUCAUUUUGUCUUAAUACUCAGUUGUUACUGUGGUGAGAACCAGACGUCUACUAUUAACCUCUUUUCUAUUCUAAAUCAUUUGAAAACAUCUAGUGUUUAAUCUUAACCAAGCUUACACUAUUUGCUUUGAACGUACGUGAUAAAACGAAUGCAAACAAAGUUUCACAUUGAAAGUUUAAACAAAUAAUAUAUAUAGUAUAUAAAAAGAUGUCUAAGCUAACUUUGAUUAGUUUUUUUUAGAAAUGAGUUCAAUAGCAAAUCCAUGUGAACUUGUAUCUUAGAUUUACAGUAGACAAUAUCGUACUAAACAGCUUCUAUCUUAGAUUUACACUGGACAAUAUUGUGCUAAACGGUUUUGGAAGAAUUAGACAUGGGCUAUAGAAAGCCUAACAGUAGGCUAAGUAGCCAAACCUCACAUGAAAACAGUCUAAUGCUCUACUGGAAAGAGAAUCAUUAGUAGAGAAGAAUAUGAUAUAAGCUUUAGCUCUUUGAACAUAAUGAGCCAAAUAUGUUGUACUUUUUGUGUUUCUUGCGAUCUUGUUUCUCCUUGUGUUCAUGACGUUGACGCCUUUGAUAGUUGUUCAUUCUUUCAAGAGUUUGUAUAAGACUAUUCAAGGAACCAUCAACAUCUAUGAUUUGGUUUCUUGCCAUCAAGGUCUCUGCAAGAUCAGCUGGAGUAAUCAUUGUCCCCUCCAACAGAGUCUUGAUUUUUUCGAACAGAGGAUGAUGAUCACCACAACGAUCCAGGUAGUUCUUGUUGGAAUUCAUACCGGUUUAUAACAAUUUAUAAGUCUACUUAUGAAUUCAUUUUGCCUAGAAUCUCAUGUCAAUACUGAAAUAAAUCUAGAUCUUACGGUUUUGAAUAUACCUGGUUAUUCGCAGCGGAAAUAUGAAUAAACCAAAUCGAGAUUUCUAGCACUCCAAACGUCGUGCCUCUACUAGUAUACACACGCACACAAACUGGAUCAGAACGGGAUGCUAGUGCCGUCGAGAUCAAAUCUCAGACAAAGUGAUUCUCCAGUUUGGUAAAGUGGGGAAAGAUAUGUUCACAAUGGAUUAUAGGUAUCCAUUGUCAGCGUUUCAAGCAUUUGCUAUUUGCUUAAGCAGCUUUGACACCAAGCUCGCUUGUGAAUAAAGAAGAAACAACACUCGUCAUCUCCUUCAUGCUAAUCCAUGUCUCUCUUUAUCUAUGCCUUAUGGUUUCUUUUGACGAACUCAUUUUGUCUUAAUACUCAGUUGUUACUGUGGUGAGAACCAGACGUCUACUAUUAACCUCUUUUCUAUUCUAAAUCAUUUGAAAACAUCUAGUGUUUAAUCUUAACCAAGCUUACACUAUUUGCUUUGAACGUACGUGAUAAAACGAAUGCAAACAAAGUUUCACAUUGAAAGUUUAAACAAAUAAUAUAUAUAGUAUAUAAAAAGAUGUCUAAGCUAACUUUGAUUAGUUUUUUUUAGAAAUGAGUUCAAUAGCAAAUCCAUGUGAACUUGUAUCUUAGAUUUACAGUAGACAAUAUCGUACUAAACAGCUUCUAUCUUAGAUUUACACUGGACAAUAUUGUGCUAAACGGUUUUGGAAGAAUUAGACAUGGGCUAUAGAAAGCCUAACAGUAGGCUAAGUAGCCAAACCUCACAUGAAAACAGUCUAAUGCUCUACUGGAAAGAGAAUCAUUAGUAGAGAAGAAUAUGAUAUAAGCUUUAGCUCUUUGAACAUAAUGAGCCAAAUAUGUUGUACUUUUUGUGUUUCUUGCGAUCUUGUUUCUCCUUGUGUUCAUGACGUUGACGCCUUUGAUAGUUGUUCAUUCUUUCAAGAGUUUGUAUAAGACUAUUCAAGGAACCAUCAACAUCUAUGAUUUGGUUUCUUGCCAUCAAGGUCUCUGCAAGAUCAGCUGGAGUAAUCAUUGUCCCCUCCAACAGAGUCUUGAUUUUUUCGAACAGAGGAUGAUGAUCACCACAACGAUCCAGGUAGUUCUUGUUGGAAUUCAUACCGGUUUAUAACAAUUUAUAAGUCUACUUAUGAAUUCAUUUUGCCUAGAAUCUCAUGUCAAUACUGAAAUAAAUCUAGAUCUUACGGUUUUGAAUAUACCUGGUUAUUCGCAGCGGAAAUAUGAAUAAACCAAAUCGAGAUUUCUAGCACUCCAAACGUCGUGCCUCUACUAGUAUACACACGCACACAAACUGGAUCAGAACGGGAUGCUAGUGCCGUCGAGAUCAAAUCUCAGACAAACCUUUCGUCUCUUAUUUUUUUUUUAGGGUUCUCACUUGAGCGGCCGAGAGAUAUCUUUUAACGUAAUAAUAAACAUAUAUGUGUUGAGUUAACCUAAUUACAUCACGUGGUCAUUACGUCAACGUAAUGGGAUUAGUGAUCCAAAUCCAAUUUAGAUUUAGGUCCAAUACACAAUACAUAUUUAUUAUUUCUAUUUAUCUUAUAAACAGAAAAUCAUCAAAACUCUAAUAAUAGUUUAAUCCAAAUUAAACUUAAUAAUAAUUUGAUCCAAUUUGCUUAGGUGUGUGACCCUGUAGGAUCAUAUAAUAUUAGUAAUGAAUUCUCAAUUCAUAGAUUAUAAGCGGUUUCUAGCAAAACAUUAUAACCACCUAAUAUUAUAUGACGUCGAAUCUCGACGUUACAACUUUAACUAGAGUAAGUACAACAGAUAGAUUUCAGGACAUUCCCAACCGUUCUUGGCAAGAAUCUUGAAGGCCUCGUAAGUGCAGUAAGACAACUCAAUGCGCAUAUCCAUUCUUCCUCUCCUUAUCAAAGCCGGGUCAAGUUUCUGCAAGUGGUUUGUGGUGAAAACUAUAAUCCUUUCCUGCCACAAGCCGACCAAAUACCAUCAAUGAAGUUGAGAAGCCCUGAGAGUGUCACUGAGUUUACUUCUUUGCUUUGUUCUCCAUUCUUCCUCAAGUUGUCCUUCUGGAUUCUAUUACCGGUGAGAUUCACAGAGCAAUCUAUGUCUCCAAUCACAAUAAUGGACCUGCUGAAUGUUGUUGUGAGCAUUUUCUUCAGAUCCAAGUUGUUAUGUACAGAUGUGAGAUCGAGAUCAUAGAUACAGUAGUUCAAAAGAUUAGCCAUGGCUGCUAUCAUGGUGGACUUACCGGUCCCUGGUGGUCCAUACAGCAGGUAACCCCUUUUCCAAGCUUUCCCAAUCUUCUUGUAAUACUCUUUCCCAUUAGUAAAAGCAGUUAGGUCACACAUGAUCUCUUCUUUCUUCUCUUGAUCCAUGGCUAGUGUCUCAAAACUCGCUGGAUGCUCCAACUCAAUAGAUCUAAGCUAUUUUUGUGACAUAAACUUAGAAAUGUGCUAUUUUGGAGAUUUGCCCUACUUAUAUAUAUAUAUAUAUUUUUUUUUUUUAAAAACACACUUAUAUUUUAUUUUUAGACUAAGAUAUUAUUAUGUGGAGAACUAUUUAAAUCAACAAUGUUCUGUUUUCAGUGAUAAGACUCCAAGUUCAACGGUGUUUAAAUCUCUCUUUAAUAACAAUUUGAUUAAAAGUUUAUAACAAACAAAAAAAAAGAUGUAAAAAGUCAACAUUAUCGUUGGGUCUUUGCUUGAUGCAAGGCGUAGGUCAUGCGGCCUUGUGGACAAUAAUGCUUCAAAAUGUCCACUUAUUACAAUUUUCAUUCUCUCUCUCUCUCUCUCUCUCUCUUAAAGAAAUACAAAUAUUUUAAAAAAUUAUCAUUAUAAAUUCGAUAAUAAAAUCCAGAGAAGAAGCGUUUGAGAGUAUAAUCCAAUUAAAAAGUUAAAAACUUUUUUAUUCUUUAAUUAUUUUCUUGCUGUCUCGUGAAUGAACUAUUAAAGAAAAAUCAAGAAAAGCUCCUGAGUACUGGAAAAGAAGAAGAAGACUUUAUCUUUCUUUUUGUGUGUGGUUCUUUGACUUUUAUGGGUUCUUUUGUUUUAGUUUUAGGCUCCUACGGAUCUGCUUAAAUCCUUGUGAUCUUGUUUCUUGUUUAGACCCAGAUUCUGUUCUACUUUUGCUAAGUUUCUUGAUUUGAUCGGAGAAGUUUUUAAGUAGGUUUGGUGGUUCAAGAUUUAAGCUUCUGGGUUAUCAUCACCUCCUUGUCUGAAAGGUUCAUACUUUACCCUUCUCUUUCUGUCUUUUUAUGUUUUUAUAUUCACUGAGAUUAUAUAUGCUCUAAAACCUUAAAUCACAGGUUCUUGUAACAGUUUCAUCUGAAAAUUAACUAAAAUCUUGACUUUAUAGGAAGUAAAUCAGAUGAGUUUUUGAAUAGUUUCCAGAUUGAAUUUAUAUGGUACAUAUGAAUCCGUUUUAUGUGAUCUGGAUAUAGCAUUUGGUGAAUUGAUGUCAGAUUCUCUUUGAUUAACUAUUAUUUUGUCAUAAAGAAAAAAGGUUCAUGGUUUGAUUAAAAGCUGGGUAUGUGGCCUAGUUUCUUUAUUGGGCAUGCGAUAUAUCUUUUUCUUUCCCAAAGCUGUAGCCAGUCUUCUUUCUCUUUUGGCUCUUUUACUUUUUUUUUUAUUUUUAUUUCUUAUUAAGGAGAGGUGACUCAGAUUUGCCAGGAUUUGUUUUCUUAUGUAACAGCCACUGGAUUCUCUUAUCUCAAUCUGAACAGUUCUGGUUUGUAAAGAAAGAGAAAUGUCGUUUAGGAGCAUUGUUCAAGAUUUGAGAGAUGGGCUUGGGAGCUUGUCGAGGAGGAGUUUCGAUUUCAGGCUUCACCACAAAGGGAAGUCUCAUGGCUCUUCGUUCCGUGAGUACUCGUCUUCUCUUGACCUCUCGCCUUUGAUAGUUCAGACAAGCAGAUGGGCUAAUCUUCCUCCGGAGCUGCUCUUGGACGUGAUCAAAAGACUAGAGGAGAGUGAGAGUAACUGGCCUGCAAGAAAACAUGUCGUGGCUUGUGCUUCUGUGUGUCGGUCUUGGAGAGCUAUGUGCCAAGAGAUCGUCCAUUGUCCUGAAAUCUCUGGGAAGCUCACUUUUCCAGUCUCCCUCAAACAGGUUCGCUCACUUUCGUGUCCUGUAAACAUCUUGUUAAGUUCAAAACAACUAAUGAAAAAAGUUUAUGUUUUACUCUUGUUGAUUCUUUUCAGCCAGGGCCACGUGAUGCGAUGAUUCAGUGUUUUAUCAAACGAGAUAAAUCAAAGCUAACCUUUCAUCUUUUUCUUUGUUUAAGUCCUGGUAAGUUUUGAUUGUUAGGACAUAGCUAUGCUUGUGUUUCGGAUUCACUAAAACACAAGUUAAACUAUUUUUUUUUGUUUUGUUUUUCAGCUCUAAUUGUGGAGAAUGGGAAGUUUCUUCUUUCAGCUAAACGGACUCGUAGAACUACUCGGACCGAGUACAUUAUCUCAAUGGAUGCUGAAAACAUCUCAAGAUCUAGUAACUCUUAUCUCGGAAAGCUCAGGUUCUGUCUGAAUCCUUGCUCUCUUAGUAUGAUUCUUCUGUUUUUUUUUUAAUACCAGGAGGUUCGGGGCCGAAGUCUGUAAUCCCCCAGGCCCGAAACUACAUCAUCUAAUAUUAGCUUAGUGUGAUUCACAUUCAUAUGUUUCUUUCUUUCUUUCAGAUCAAACUUUCUUGGGACGAAGUUCUUGGUGUACGAUACACAACCACCACCAGACACAUCAUCUUCUUCUUCAAGUGCACUUAUCACCGACCGAACAAGCAGAAGCAGGUUUCACUCAAGGAGAGUAUCCCCCAAAGUCCCAUCUGGAAGCUACAACAUUGCUCAGAUCACAUACGAGCUCAACGUGCUGGGCACACGCGGGCCACGGAGAAUGCACUGCAUCAUGAACUCUAUCCCAACUUCAUCUCUCGAACCGGGAGGCUCGGUUCCAAACCAACCUGAGAAACUCCUCCCGCCUCCACCGCGCUCCUUUGACGACUCGUUCCGGAGCAACAUCUCAUUCUCCAAGUCAUCAUUCGACCACCGCUCCGUAGAUUUCAGCAGCUCUAGAUUCUCGGAAAUGGGAGUGUCCUGCGAGGAAGACC
rnacentral:lncRNA from 1 species